rnacentral:rRNA from 1 species
AGUCGAGCGGUAGCACAGAGGGAGCUUGCUCCCCGGGUGACGAGCGGCGGACGGGUGAGUAAUGUCUGGGAAACUGCCUGAUGGAGGGGGAUAACUACUGGAAACGGUAGCUAAUACCGCAUAACGUCGCAAGACCAAAGAGGGGGACCUUCGGGCCUCUUGCCAUCAGAUGUGCCCAGAUGGGAUUAGCUAGUAGGUGGGGUAAUGGCUCACCUAGGCGACGAUCCCUAGCUGGUCUGAGAGGAUGACCAGCCACACUGGAACUGAGACACGGUCCAGACUCCUACGGGAGGCAGCAGUGGGGAAUAUUGCACAAUGGGCGCAAGCCUGAUGCAGCCAUGCCGCGUGUGUGAAGAAGGCCUUCGGGUUGUAAAGCACUUUCAGCGAGGAGGAAGGUGGUGAGCUUAAUACGCUCAUCAAUUGACGUUACUCGCAGAAGAAGCACCGGCUAACUCCGUGCCAGCAGCCGCGGUAAUACGGA